rnacentral:rRNA from 1 species
AAAAGUAAAAGAAGGGCAGACGGUGGAUGCCUUGGCUCUCGGAGGCGACGAAGGACGUGAUAAGCUGCGAUAAGCUACGGGGAUUGGCACAUACAAAUUGAUCCGUAGAUUUCCGAAUGGGGCAACCCGGCAUGUAGAAGACAUGUCACACUGCAGAGCAGUGAGCGAACGUGGGGAACUGAAACAUCUAAGUACCCAUAGGAGAAGAAAACAAAAGUGAUUCCCUUAGUAGUGGCGAGCGAACGGGGACCAGCCCAAACCAGAUUUGUUUCGGCAAAACUGGGGUUGUAGGACCUCGACAUAGGAAGACAAGAUUAGGAGAACGGUCUGGAAAGGCCGGCCAUAGAACAUGACAGCUGUGUAUCCGAAAAUCUUCGUUGGACUUAGAGGUAUCCUGAGUAGCGCGGGACACGUGAAAUCCUGUGUGAAUCUGCGGGGCCCAUCCCGUAAGGCUAAAUACUCCCGAGAGACCGAUAGUGAACCAGUACCGUGAGGGAAAGGUGAAAAGAACCUCGAACAGAGGAGUGCAAUAGAUCCUGAACCCGUCUGCCUACAAGCGGUAGGAGCAGCUUCGAGCUGUGACUGCGUGCCUUUUGCAUAAUGAACCUACGAGUUACUUUCUCUGGCAAGGUUAAGUGAUGAAGAGUCACGUGAGCCGAAGCGAAAGCGAGUCUGAAUAGGGCGGUUUAGUCAGAGGGAGUAGACGCGAAACCAAGUGAUCUACCCUUGGUCAGGUUGAAGGUUGGGUAAAACCAACUGGAGGACCGCACCGGUAAGCGUUGAAAAGCUUUCGGAUGAACUGAGGGUAGGGGUGAAAGGCUAAUCAAACUUGGAGAUAGCUCGUACUCCCCGAAAUGCAUUUAGGUGCAGCCUCGGGUAAGGUACUGAUGAGAGGUAGAGCGACUGAUUGGAUGCGAGGGCUUCACCGCCUAUCAAGUCCGGCCAAACUCCGAAUGCUCAUCAGCAACAUCCCGGGAGUGAGGGCAUGGGUGCUAAGGUCCAUGUCCGAGAGGAGAAGAAUCCAGAUCACCGGCUAAGGUCCCCAAAUAGCAGUUAAGUUGCAUUAACGAAGUCCGACCGCAGCGACAGCCAGGAUGUUGGCUUGGAAGCAGCCAUUCAUUUAAAGAGUGCGUAACAGCUCACUGGUCGAGGGGUCGGGCAUGGAUAAUAAUCGGGCAUAAGCUGUUUACCGAAGCCGUGAGAUCGAAAAGAUCGGUAGGGGAGCAUUCCAUUAUCAGCGUUGAAGAUGAGAGGUGACUCUUGUUGGAGCGGAUGGAAAAGCAAAUGCAGGUAUAAGUAACGAUAAAGGGGGUGAAAAACCUCCUCGCCGAAAGACCAAGGGUUCCUGAUCAACGCUAAUCGGAUCAGGGUUAGUCGGGACCUAAGGCUAAGCCGAAGGGCGAUGCCGAUGGAAGAACCGGUUAAUAUUCCGGUACUGCUUUGUGGAGUGAUGUGGAGACGGAGAAGUGACAGCUCGGCCAUCUGACGGAAUAGGUGGUUGAAGGGUGUAGACGUUGAUUGUUGUAGGCAAAUCCGCAACAAGAGUUGAACCUGACAGUAUGCAGCGUACUUGUACAAUGUAAUAAGAGCGUAAUCAGGCUCCCAAGAAAACCCGCUAAACAUAUCUUCAAAGCACCCGUACUCGAAACGGACACACGUGGUCGGGUUGAAAAUACUAAGGCGCUCGAGUGAUUCACGGUUAAGGAACUAGGCAAAAUGGUCCUGUAACUUCGGGAUAAAGGACGCCAAUAGCAAUAUUGGUCGCAGAGAAUAGGCCCAGGCGACUGUUUAACAAAAACACAUGACUAUGCGAAAUCGAAAGAUGAGGUAUAUGGUCUGACACCUGCCCGGUGCUGGAAGGUUAAGAGGAGAUGUCAUCCUGCAAGGGAGAAGCAUUGAAUUGAAGCCCCAGUAAACGGCGGCCGUAACUAUAACGGUCCUAAGGUAGCGAAAUUCCUUGUCGGGU